CUUUGGGGAUUCCAGCCUUGUUCCUGUGAUUUUCUUAGCACUUAAAAAGUUAGGUGCUGCAACUGCUCAGCACCACAAUGCUUCUGUCUCUUUGUGGAUCUGGGUCAAAAGGACAUAUCUUGUUCAUCUUAUUGAUAUCAACAGUGUAACAGAUAGAAUUCUGCUUGCCUUAAUUGCUCUUUUUUUUCUUUCAUGGAACUAUGAUGUUGAUGGCCAAGUGAUCUAACAGACUGAACAUCUAGGAAAUAUAUGCUGCAGAUGGAGGACACCGGCAACGGAUGGUCCAUCUCAGGAUCUCUGGAACAUCGGAGGAUUCCUGGCUCUCUACUGCCAAAGAGUGGCUAGCACAGUCUUCACUGGAUCCUUCGGUGGAUUGCAGGAGUCAGGAUCAGUCUCAGCUCACAGAAAUAUCUUUUUCUGAAAUCUUAGAGACCACCUCUCCCAGUAAAUUAUUCCCUUGCCCAUCAAGCUGACUGUAGCCUCUUUGUGCUGACUUCAACUGAGUGUUUCAGCGUCAUAGAUUCAAUAAUAUUGGAGUAAAGUCCAUAGAAAAUCCCCUUUAUAUAAUACAAGACAUAAUUCUUUGAAGAAUCAAGCCAAUAAACUUCUUGCUGCCGAAGGAAAGACACUUGACAGCUGACACUCCAUUCCCUUCUUUGCUGAGUUUGGGGA